CUCCACUGAGUCAAUGCAUUAUAAACCUCAUUGGCAGUGUAAAAAAGAAAGACUUUCACUUCUUUCAUCGCCAACCCAAUUUCUCUACUGUUAAACAAGAAAUAAAACAACAAAAUCUGUAUUCUAAAACCAUUUCAAAUCUAGAUCAUCAUCACAUAUAUACCCAGCUCCUAAAAAUAUGUCUGCAACAGUACGAACAAAUCUAGUCCCACCAGCAGUUCGACGAAAUGCCCCAAAGAAUUGGUUCUGCUUCAAGAGCUUGUAGAAUUGUCCAUGCCCAGAGCUUAAUACUUGGUAUUGGAUCCAGAGGGAAGUUAGGAAAUGCCGAGUGUGGCGAUAUGGACUUCACAGAGAAGACGUUCUACCGCCUUGGGGAAAGAGAUAUUAUGGCUUGGAAUUCUGUUUUGUCAAUGUACUCGAGGCAGGGUUUGUUGGAACAGGUCAUUUCGUCAUUCAGGUCAAUUUCUUAAUUAGUUCACUUAUGCAAUUGUAUUAUCUGUUUGUGCUAGAUUGAUGGAAGUGGAGUAUGGGAAGCAAAUUCAUUAUAAUGUUAUUUAGGCCGGUUUUGAGUUCAAUUCCUUUUGUGAAGGUUCUCUUGUUGACAUGUAUGCUAAAUGUAAUUCUGUGAUUGACGCUCGUCAAAUAUUUGAUGGGGCUGCAAGCCCUGAUACAGUUUCUUAGACGGCAAUGAUUGCAGGGUAUGUUCAGAUUGGUUUACCUGAACAGGUGCUGAAAAUGUUCUAGGAUAUGCAGGAAAUAGGUCGCAUUCCUGAGGAGGUGACAUUUGUUACUGUCAUAAGUGUGUGCGUGGAGAUAGGAAAGCUUGAUGAUGCAUGCCAUUUGUUUGCCCAGAUGCCUCAUCCUUGUGCUGUAGCAUGGAAUGUGAUGAUUUCAGGUCAUGCCCAGAAAGGUUAUGAUAGGGAAGCUGUCAAUAUUUUCCAUGAUAUGAGGAAAGCUGGUGUUAAACCAACGCGAUCGACAUUUGGAAGUGUUUUGAGUGCAAUUGCAAGCUUGGCUAAUCUUGACUAUGGCUUGCAAGUUAGAUUCUAAUGUUUAUGUGGGAAGUUCUUUAAUCAGUAUGUAUGCCAAGGGCUAAGAAGUGGAAGCUUCAAGGAAAAUGUCUGAUACUCUUGAUGGAAAAAAAAUACUGUGCUGUUGAAUGCAAUGCUUGGGGUUUAUGCACAGAUUGGGUAUGCUAGUGAAGGGAUAGAAUUAUUCUCCAAGAUGAGGGAUUCUGGUUUGCAACCUGACUACCUACACUAGCAUUCUUAGUGCUUGUUCUUGCUUGGGAAAUUUAGAAAUGGGGCGCCAACUACAUUCCUUUAUUAUUAAGAACAAGCUUGAAGCAAACUUAUUUGUCGGAAACGCAUUGAUCAACUUGUAUGCUAAAUCUGGUACUCUAAAUGAUGGAAUGAAACAAUUUGAGCUCCUGAUAAAUAGAGAUAAUGUUUUUUGGAAUGCAAUUAUGGUUGGGUACGUGCAGGAAGAAGAAGAGGGUGAGGCUUUUUUUUUUUUUUUUUUUUUUUUUCCUAGUUGGUAUUCACACACAGAUGCCUUCACUGAAGUUCGAACCCCUGACCUCCCUUUGGGAAGUAGGGGCCUGGUACCGCUAGGCCACAGGUCUGUUGGUUGGUGAGGCUUUCAAACUGAUUCAGAGAAUGUAUUCAGAAGGGAUUGCACCUGAUUUAGUGUCCUUGGCAAGUAUACUCAGUGCUUUUGCGAAUCUGCGAGAUCUUGAACAAGGAAAGAAAAUACAUUGUAUAUCGGUUAAAAAUUGAAUAGAAAACAGCCUUUAUUGUGGAAGCUCUCUUAUCGACAUGUAUGCUAAGUGUGGAGCCAUUGGAGCUGGUCAUGAAGUUUUCACUUGCAUGCCUGAGCAGAGUGUGGUUUCCACGAAUGCUACUAUUGCAGGAUAUGCUCAGAAUAUCUUAGAGAAAGCAGUAAAUCUGUUUCAUUUUAUCCUGGCUGAGGGAUUUAAACCGUCUGAAAUCACCUUUGAAAAUCUGCGACCUGUAUGUUAAAACUUGGAAGGCAAAUCCAUUUUUUUAUAUAAUUAAGGAGGCUUUCAUGCAAGUUGGGAUUUGUUCCACCAUGAUGGACAAUAUAUGAAUUUCACUGAUGCUCUCUUUUUCGGUAAGCGACUACAAUUAGGUUGGUGGAAGGAUGAAGCUUGGAAUGUCAAAUACUGCUGCCUUCAGAACAGCAUUAGUGAUUUGGGCAUCUUGGGUCAAGAUUAUGGUUCAUAUGGUAUGGACAGAAACUUAUAUUCUUUCAGGCUUCGAAGCUUCCUGUUGGAGGACCCGUCAAUGAAGAGGACAAUUGGACAAGGUAACAUUCAUGAGGAGCCAUACUACUUUUAAGCGGCUUCGGCAAUGGCAGUCGUUGAACCCGCCGAUUGAUCUUUGGCGUUGGCAGCUUGGGCAUUUAUCUUAUCGUACUCUGCAAAAUUUAAUUAAGGAUGUUUAUUAUGUAUCUUGUUCACAUAAUAAAAUUUGUGAAAUUUGUCCACAAGAAAACACAAGGACAUUUGUCGUUUCCUUCCAAUUCUAUCACUACUGGUAGACCUUUUGCUUUAAUUCAUUGUGACAUAUGGAGUCCUUUUUCUCAACCAUUCUUUAAAUGGUUCUUGUUAUCUGUUAACAUUUGUUGAUGAAUUUAGU